rnacentral:rRNA from 1 species
CCUACGGGAGGCAGCAGUGGGGAAUAUUGGACAAUGGGGGGAACCCUGAUCCAGCGACGCCGCGUGAGUGAAGAAGUAUUUCGGUAUGUAAAGCUCUAUCAGCAGGGAAGAAAGAAAUGACGGUACCUGACUAAGAAGCCCCGGCUAACUACGUGCCAGCAGCCGCGGUAAUACGUAGGGGGCAAGCGUUAUCCGGAUUUACUGGGUGUAAAGGGAGUGUAGACGGCGAUGCAAGUCUGAAGUGAAAGGCGGGGGCCCAACCCCCGGACGGCUUUGGAAACGGUAUAGCUGGAGUGCAGGAGAGGUAAGUGAAAUUCCUAGUGUAGGGGUAAAAUGCGUAGAUAUUAGGAGGAACACCAGUGGCGAAGGCGGCUUACUGGACUGUAACUGACGUUGAGGCUCGAAAGCGUGGGGAGCAAACAGGAUUAGAUCCCCCUGUAGU